UGCUUGCACCUUAGCUUAGCGGCGGACGGGUGAGUAAUGCUUAGGAAUCUGCCUAUUAGUGGGGGACAACAUUCCGAAUGGGAUGCUAAUACCGCAUACGCCCUACGGGGGAAAGCAGGGGAUCUUCGGCCCUUGCGCUAAUAGAUGAGCCUAAGUCGGAUUUGCUAGUUGGUGGGGUAAAGGCCUACCAAGGCGACGAUCUGUAGCGGGUCUGAGAGGAUGCUCCGCCACACUGGGACUGAGACACGGCCCAGACUCCUACGGGAGGCAGCAGUGGGGAAAAUUGGACAAUGGGGGGAACCCUGAUCCAGCCAUGCCGCGUGUGUGAAGAAGGCCUUUUGGUUGUAAAGCACUUUAAGCGAGGAGGAGGCGCUCUAGCAUAAUACCCUAGAUGCGUGGACGUUACUCGCAGAAUAAGCACCGGCUAACUCUGUGCCAGCAGCCGCGGUAAUACAGAGGGUGCGAGCGUUAAUCGGAUUUGCUGGGCGUAAAGCGCGCGUAGGUGGCUAAUUAAGUCAAAUGUGAAAUCCCCGAGCUUAACUUGGGAAUUGCAUUCGAUACUGCUUAGCUAGAGUAUGGGAGAGGAUGGUAGAAUUCCAGGUGUAGCGGUGAAAUGCGUAGAGAU
rnacentral:rRNA from 1 species